GAUGAACGCUGGCGGCGUGCCUAAUACAUGCCAGUCGAGCGAACAGACGAGGCGCUUGCUCCUCUGACGUUAGCGGCGGACGGGUGAGUAACACGUGGAUAACCUCCCUAUAAGACUGGGAUAACUUCGGGAAACCGGAGCUAAUACCGGAUAAUAUAUUGCACCGCAUGGUUCGAUAGUGAAAGACGGUUUUGCUGUCACUUAUAGAUGGAUCUGCGCCGCAUUAGCUAGUUGGUAAGGUAACGGGUUACCAAGGCGACGAUGCGUAGCCGAACUCAGAGGGUGAUCGGCGACACGGGAAGGUAGCCGGCGACCAGGCGCCUAAGGGAGGGAGCAGAAGGGAAUCUGACGCAGUGGGCGAAAGCCUGGCGGAGCAGCGCCGCGUGAGAGAUGAAGGUCUUCGGAGCGUAAAACUCUGUUAUUAGGGAAGAACAAAUGUGUAAGUAACUAUGCACGGCUUGACGGUACCUAAUCAGAAAGCCACGGCUAACUACGUG
rnacentral:rRNA from 1 species